rnacentral:rRNA from 1 species
CCUACGGGAGGCAGCAGUGGGGAAUAUUGCGCAAUGGGCGAAAGCCUGACGCAGCGACGCCGCGUGAGGGAUGAAGGUCUUCGGAUCGUAAACCUCUGUCAGCAGGGAAGAACGGUCACUGUGCUAAUCAGCAGUGAAUUGAUGGUAUCUGCAAAGGAAGCACCGGCUAACUCCGUGCCAGCAGCCGCGGUAAUACGGAGGGUGCGAGCGUUAAUCGGAAUUACUGGGCGUAAAGCGCUCGUAGUCGGUAUGUCAAGUCAAGUGUGAAAUCCCCGCGCUCAACGUGGGAACUGCCUUUGAAACUGGCAGACUGGAGUGUGUGUGAGGAUGGUGGAAUUCGAGGUGUAGCAGUGAAAUCCGUAGAUAUCUGGAGGAACAUCGAUGGCGAAGGCGACUAACUAACACAUAACUGACACUGAGGAGCGAAAGCGUGGGUAGCAAACAGGAUUAGAUACCCUAGUAGUC